rnacentral:tRNA from 1 species
GAGGGUAUAGCUCAAGUGGUAGAGCACAUGCUUAGCAUGCAUGAGGUCCCGGGUUCAAUCCCCAGUAUCUCCU